AUUCGUAAUUCGCUAUUCUCUAAUACCAGCGGCGGCAAUGUUUUAGAAAUUUUAAUGUCAUUUUUACGCGACAAGCAACCGUUUUCUCUUUGUGGGAACCGAUGUGAUCAUCUUUACGUCUGCAAGAAAUCUUUGUUUGAUAAUGCUAAUUUAUUAAAGAGUAAUUAAUCUUGGAAUGGAGGAAUGUUGUGUCAUUGCUUCAGCUCCAUCCAAUCCCAAGCCAAUGGUUGUUUUUUCUGAGUAGUUUAUGUAGCUUUCAGCGGCUAGAAUUCUGGUGGAUGUUGCAAUUUGAUGCCUUGAUGAUGUAGACUGGCGACAGAAUUGCCAAAUUCUUCAAUACAUUCAAAUGGCAAAGCCCUACACAUCGUCAAAUCUCAUAAAAUGCAAUUGUUGUUAAUGUAAUGUGGAAGACUAGCCUACUUACUACCGUCGAGGAAUGGGUAGUCUGUAUAGCCAACAACAGGGUCAAAUGUAUAAAAAGUGCUUCUAUCAUACUUGUUAAGCGCAGCAUUGAGCUCGUAUCUCCUUGGUAGAUCAGGGUUAGCCAGAAACCAGCGUCCAAGUGCAACUAAAUCAGCACCUCCACUAGCAAUCACUUCAUUACCAUUGUCUCUAGUGUAUCCUCCAGCAACAAUAAAAGUACCCUUGAAAGCCUUUCUCAUAGGCAGAAGACUAUGUCCUGUCGGCUGCGCCUCAAACUGAGUGAUCAUCCGAGGUUCUAUCACAUGACAGUAGAGAAUUCCAAAUUUGUUGAGGGACUCAACCACGUACAAGCCAAGAGCUUCAGGGUUGGAAUCUGCACAGUCGUUAUAAUCCGCAAAUGGUGAGAGUCUAAUGCCAACUCUAUAAGCUCCAAUCUCAUCAGCUACUGCUUUAACUACUUCAAAUAGAAAUCGACAACGAUUUUCUAAGCUCCCUCCAUAUGUGUCUGUCCUAUCAUUUACCUUAUCUUUCAAGAAUUGAUCAAUUAGGUACCCGUUGGCUCCAUGAAUCUCCACUCCAUCGAAACCUGUAACUUGAAAUUCAUUUGUCAGAAAUCAUAUUUGCUAAUAGCCAAUGCCUGCGGAAGAGACAGCUUCUAACUUCGCAGUUCUAACAGGAGUGUUUUGAUUUCUGAUGUAGAUACAUAGCCGUUUUUCUCUAUGCUUUGUGGCUUACUGGCUUUGUGCUGUGUAUGUCCUAAAUUGGUGCACCAGUCAUAACAGUCUUAUACUAAAAAGUUAAGCAUUACCUGCUUCUAUAGCAUUUCUUGCAGCAAUUCUAUAGUCCUCGACAAUCUGAGGGAUCUCCUCAGUCAAGAGCCGACGAGGAGGAGGAAAUGCAGCUGGAGUAGUGCCAUCAAUGUGAAAUUUAGAUUUUAUUGGCUUGUCAGUACUAGAGAUGGGAGGAUGACCAUUUGGCUGAAAGCCUGUGGAAUUGGAAGCAUGCAAUACAGUUGAAAUUUUUCUGCCAACUAUUAAUCAAACACAUUUAACAAGAUCAUAAACAUUCAAAUCAUAACCAUAGGUACAUAGUUAAAAUGAAAUUCUGUUGUUUUCUAAUCCAUUGAAUAAAGGAAAAUGGGCCAUCUUCCUUACAGUAAUCAGAAGCCCUUCCAGCAUGCCAGAGCUGACAAAAAAAUAUGCCUCCUUUCUGAUGAACACCAUGCACAACGGGUUUCCAAGCUUCCACAUGUUCUCUUGUCCAAAUUCCGGGAAUGUUUGGGCCACCUAUAGCAGUUUCUGAAACUGCUGAUGCUUCUCCAAUCAAGAAACCACCCUUCGUUGUUCUUUGAGAGUAAUACAAGAUGGCAUGUGGUUGAGCUGUGAAGUUGUAAGAUCUCAUCCUUGUCAAGGGAGCCAAAACUAUCCUAUGAGAGAGAUCAAACUUUCCCAUCUUGUAAGGAGUUAACAGGAGCAUUGGUGAUUCCUCCAUUUCCAUGGUCUUGGAGCUUUCUUCUUCCGCAGCCAUGGUGAUGAUGUAUCCCACGCAAGUCAACAAGGUCAAAGAGUAAAG
rnacentral:misc_RNA from 1 species